CCGGUUCGUCAAGCUGGUGCUCCUCCCACUCUGUUAUCUGCAUUAAGGAGGACACUGGAACCUCUAAACUCUGAAUCCAAAGAAAGCUCAUUUCAUAUGUUAAAUCUUUUGUUAGUGUAGGGCUCACCUCUGAGGGGGUCAUGCAGUCUUCCACCUCGGUAGAGUCCUAAAAAGCCAAAAUUCAGUUAUUCAUUCAUUGCUUCAACAAACAGAUUUAUACAAAGUAAAUGUUCAAAACGCAACACCUGAUUGAAAACCUAGUAUACAUGUGUUUGCUUCAGUGUAGUAUGGUAAAGACACAGGCUGUAAACCAGUGCAGCAUUUAUAUCUACCAGUCUAUGAGAAUACGAGGCUGAAGGAAAACUUUGGUUUAUUGAUCUCUGUGCAGCCAGAAUCCCGAAAAUUACACUGACAACAACAAUAAAACUCUGAGAAUCAACCACCUUUAAAUAAAAAACACACACACAGUCGCACAGACCAGGCAUUCAGACCCGAGUGAAAGCUGAUGAAACACUGACAGACAUUCACACCUCACACCUCUCUAAAACACACACACUUUCUCUCGCUCUCUCUGCUAAAGCACUCUAAUGCUCUGGUUUGUGCACCACAAAUAUUUUGGUCCAGCACUCACUACGUGUGUGUCGCAAGGCAACGGUUACUAAGCAACAGUCUCUAGGCGGCAGACAAUCUUACCGCCAUGGAGAUCCUCACACGUUUGGGCUUGGGCUUUCUUUUUUCAGAAGGAGCCGGCCCAGCCGGGCUCUUCCAGCCGGGGAGAGAAGGCAUCAACACAGCACAACAUUAACACAGCGUCAGUGGAAGCGGACAGUUUUUCCCCUUUAACAUCGCGCCACUGCAACAUUGGAGCCCAGUCUGACUUCUGCUGGGAGAAGUCUUUGUGAUGAGAGCACAAUGUUGCUGAAAGGGUAUAAUUACUACACCACAGAUGGAGGUGAGGGCACAGAAGCUGUACAAGAAGCCCAACGGUUAAUACAAUAUGAUGCACUGCCAGAAAAAAGGAGCUUGAACAUCUUAUAUUUUAGUAUUUUAAUAUCUCGUGUCAUCCCUUUAGGAGCUUUGCAGCUGAGAGCAAAUGUCUUAUUCAAUCAGCUUCUUUAAUGAACAAAUGGCUGCUACUUCAAAUGGUUGGAUAAAAAAAAAGAAAAGACUUUAUCCCAUUUUUGUGAGUUUUUGAGACUUUUACAUCAUCGCCAUCAUUUUAUUUGGCAAAAAAUUGUCAGAAGAUUCAAUAAAGUUUUUUAUUUUCAAAGUAACUUGAAUUUUCUGGCAAUUAUUUCAGGGUUCAGAUACUAUGGUUACAUUUGUCAACACAACCUGCCUAUUAGGGCCUACAUGAGGGUCAGUCAAGUGUCUCUACAAAAGGUUGUGGUUUUUUUUUUGUAAUACCUGUUCUACAUUUCUUUUCUUUGUCCAUCCGUGCAUCUGUAUUUUAAAUGUUUAUCCGAUUUAGUGUCACAGGAAGGCUGGAGCCUACCGUCUUGGUCCGAGCGGAAGGCUACAGUGUGGACAGGCUGCCAGCCUCUAAGGUGAGUAACAUAAUAACAAAGAUAUGACACUGAGGUCAGUUUUUUCCACUUUUUGGGUUUUUUUCUGGGGGCAAUGCUAAUUUUUAAUCUACAAUCAUAAUUUCUAAUUUUGAAAUGUGCAAAUCUCAUACACCCAAAUUUUAUUCACAACACAGAAAAUACAUCAAAUGUUUAAAUUGAGGAACACUUCCCAAACAGCAAAGAAGAAGCCAUAUGUGGACAUGAUCCCAAACUGCUGCUGUCUCCUCUGAACCAAAGCUCAUUUAAAAUGGACUCAGACAAAGUGGAAAAAAGUGAUCAUACGAUUUGAAAUUGGAAAUUAUUUUUGGAAGACGUGAACCCAGCUAUCAGCUCUCAAUUCAAACCUCUGCAUUUCUGAUGGUAUUGAGGUGCCUUAGAGCUGAUGUACAACUCGUACAUAUCAAGGUUUGUACAGAUUUUAGAGCAACAUCUAGAUGAGGGUUUGAGGGAAGGCCUUAAAUAUUUCAGUAAUUCAAUGCUCAACUGCAUCCUGCAUGUAUUACAACUUUAUAGUAGAAGAGUCUGAGUGCUGAAUUGAUCUGCCUGAUGUCAGACAGUUAAAUAUGAUAUAGAAGAUGCAGGACUGUUGAGAAUCUGGAAUCUUCAAUCAGACACGAAUGGGACAACACUUGUAAAAUCGUCCUGCAGCUGAUCUCCUCACUUCUCAGAUGUUUACAGACUGUUGUUAAAAGAAGAGAGGAUGCUGCACAGUGGAAAACGUGACUCUGUCCCAACUUUUUUGAGAUGUGUUGCUGCCUUCAAAUUCAAAAUAAACCAAUAUUUUUAUUAAAAUGGUAAAUUGUCUUAGUUUAAGCCUCUGAUAUGUUUUUGUUGAGAAUAAAAUAUGGGAUUAUGAGAUUUGCAAAUAUUUUGAAUAAAGGUUGUAAUUCAGCUUUGCUCUAUGCUUUAAACUUCCAGGAGCGUGUUCAAUAUUACUUAUUUUGACCAGUCCAAAACCAAAAAUGUUUCAUUUCCAGAACAGUAGAAACAGCUUGAUCCUUUAUGUGUGAACCGACUGAAAUAUUUAAACCCAAAACCAUCAGGUUGACACGUUUUAUAUCUCUGAUUGAUCUACACCCGAUUUUUAAAAAGAAUUGCGCAUUUGAACAGCGUUUGGCAGCACAGCAGUGGCUGAGGACUGAACUGUGCUGAAAGGUGUUGAAAAGAGAUAAGAAACAUUUUUUUAAACCACACUGCAUGACGCCAUGACCGCUUUAAAUAAAACUAAAAAAAAGAAAAGAAAAAAGAAAUGCUAAAAUGUAGGAUGUUAAAAAAAACCCGUUUGACCAGCAGUGGAUGUGCUGUGCGGUGAGGGUGCAAUGAUUCAUAGACGUUUUAUACAAAAAGCUUCGACCACAGCAUGAGAUUACACAGGAAAACCCUGCUGUCUGUGGGUGGAUCCUGCCUGUCAGCAGCAGGAGGACGACGAGGUGGACGAUAUAUGUGAGGACUGAGAGAGCGCACACAUCCCCGCUCGUACAGUGCAUGUCGCACUCUUAAAGGACACUCGCACUCAUGCAUCUAUAACAUCUCUGCUUCUCCUCACCUCCAGCAGCUCCUUGUCUUGGUCAGCACAGGAAAGGGUCUGAGAGCCUCAGAGAGGGGACAAAAAAAAAGGGCAGAUUUAAGAGGAAGCUGAACAUUGGAAACCACUGGGCUGAAGGAUGAAGACUCCUCUGUGGAGAUCUACACGGAAAAUACAUUAACGCAGGAAAAAAAGGACAAAAACAAAAACGAGGGAGACACACAAAGGACGAAUACACAUGCACGUAAACGAACAGGACAGCACAGGUAAGGGCACAGACGACAGAGACACAGAAGACACAUUUUAAUGUUAAAAUACAAAUGAAGUACAUUCACACAGCUUGUAAGCACUUACCACAACAGCUGUCCAAAAACUCCAUCUGUGCCUUUACCUACUGCUACAUGCUUCACACAUGCUGAUCCACUUUUAGUCUACUGCUACAACCCCAACCCAAUCCAGACUUCGCCCCAGCCCAGCCCUGGCGCCCCCGGACGCCUCACACCUGUUGAGUGCUCACCAAGAAGCGGACCGCUUGGCGAGCACUGGAAUUGGUCGAGGAGUUGAGAUCCCGAUAGGAAGAGUUAAGAGUGAUGUAGCGCACAUCUCUGACCAUGAUGUCCUCCACACGGAUAUUAUACUUCCUGAAACAUGGAGGAGAAGAUAGAGGUUAAUGAGACACCUGCAAACAUAAGGGAAGGAAAUGAACGGGAAGAUAAGCGAAAGGAAGAUGAAGAGGAAAUGGAAUAAAAAAAGUGAAAAAAGGUGCAGAAUCACUGGAAAAUAGGAAAGCAGCAUCAGCAUCAGCCGACUCACUCAUGAUGUCCCAUCCCCAGCUCAGGCAGAUAAGGGAGCUUCUUGAUGCGAAUGAUGGAGUCGUACAGCGAUGGUUGGAGCGCCUGGGCCACGGCGUUGGCCAGGAUCACAGCGAUCAUCACAGGCAGGAUGUGUGAGAUCUGACCGGUCAGCUCGAACACUAUGACCGCUGUGGAUACAGUGUGGGUGACCGCUCCAGACAGAGCAGCAGCACCUGUGAAUGAAGGGAAAAUCUUUUAUAUCUGUCAGUCUCCUUGAAGCCAUUUACAUGGAGCAAAAUGGCAAAGAUGGAGUGUCUGAUCCACAGAAAAAGUUUAAAUUUACAUGUAUAUACAGAAUAUAAGGCAAAAUCUGAGUUUAUACAAUUCUAAUGAGAGUCAAUUGUAAUAAUGAGUCAACAUUUUGUGUGAACACCUUUCUUCUUCAUCAUAGCCUGAACUCUCUUAGGCAAGCCUUUUGUAAUUUUUAAAACAGGAACAGCUUUUAAGGCUUCCUGAAGGGCAUUUAAAGCUCUUCUUUGAAUGUUGGCUGCCUUUUAUUUUGCUCUCUGUCAAGAUGAUCUCACACCAUUUCUACAAUGUUGAGUUCUACUGUGUGUUUUUCCAUCAGGUAUGAUUUUAUUGUACUGGCAGUGUGUUUGGGAUCGUUUUCAUGCUAAAAAAUAAACCUGUCAGACGCAGCACUAAAUCAUGACAGUGCCUCCAGAUGGCUUCAGACACACUGUGUUGUAUCACUUUCCUGACUUUCACCAUACAUAUAUUCAAAUCUGGGUUCAUCACUCCAUAAUACCUGAUUUUUCAGUAAAGUUGCUCUGUAAUUUUGCAUACCUCAGCCUUUUCUCUCCAUUUCCUUUCCUCAAGAAUGGCUACUUGACAGCCAUCCUUCCACUGAGACCAUUUCUAAUGAGCCUUCAGUGAACAGCAGAUGGAUCACCCAAAGAGUCAGAUGCAUCUCUCAGGUCCUGUGACAGAUGUUUGCUGGAUCUUUUCCUAUUUUCAGAGACUGUUCAUCUGCUGUAGAUUUUUUUGCGCCUGCCACUACUUCCCUUUUUUCUCAACUUGUCCAGCUUCCUUUUAUGGACACACUUAUGGUGAGAUAUGCCAAAUUUUCAGGCAAUAGCUCUUUGGGAAUCACCCUGUUUGAGCAAAAUUACUAUGCUAUAGCUAUCAAACGCAGUUAGUUUGGGAAUUUAUCACGGAACUAAAUAAACUAACUAAAAAAAUUGUUUUUUUCUUGUUUUCCUAGUAAUAAAAUGCCUAUAGAGACUAUUUAAAUUUGAUUCUUUGAUAAAUUGUCUGUUACCUUUAGACAGAAAAUGAGUUCAUUCAUUGAGUUAGCUACUUUGUUUAACGCUUGAAUGAAUCAUAGGUCAAUGUUAAGCGAAAAAACAACCCCAAAACAAUCCUCACAGUCAGGUACAAGGACUGGACUGAAAAUGAGGGUAAAAGCCGAAAUCCAAAGAAAAACAGAAACUUGGAGAACUAUUGCUCAAGACAACUUUUUUUUAAAAAUGGCAUAAAAGUCUGGCUGCUGGGAAGUGAAACGUAAAGAAAUGAUGGGUGGCUUAAAACUUUUGCUCAGUACUGCUAAUUGUACAAAAAUUUAAACAGCAAAUUGAAACACUCAGCAAUUAAUCUUUCUGCUGCUCUCCCCAACACUGGCUUUGUACGUCCCAGAACAGAGUCAUAGUACAAGUAAUAUUAGAAACAAUCUUCUGACCAAACUGAUAAAGUAGUAAAAACAGUGACGACUUUUCCAGCUGUGAUACAUUCUAAUACUACAGGAUCCCCACAAAAAGAAACUAUGUAAUUAAUCUAAUUAAAUCUCAAAACAAACAUCAAUAUAGAAAUAGAGUCACUCACCAACUACAGCAUAACCACCAGGAACUAUGGGAUACACGCUGCCUGCAGCAUGUAUACCAUCAGGAAACAUGGUUGCCAUGAUCUCACCAACAAGUCUGCCAAAGGCUGCACC